GACGUAGGGUGCGAGCGUUGUCCGGAUUUAUUGGGCGUAAAGAGCUCGUAGGCGGCUUGUUGCGUCGGCUGUGAAAACCCGCAGCUCAACUGUGGGCUUGCAGCCGAUACGGGCAGACUAGAGUGCGGGUAGGGGUGACUGGAAUCCAGGUGUAGCGGUGAAAUGCGUAGAUAUCUGGAGGAACACCGGUGGCGAAGGCGGCAUUCUGGACCGAA
rnacentral:rRNA from 1 species